AACAAAGCGAAGAAGAGGCUAAGUAAUAUACGAAACAUUUAAGAGAGUUAGUGGUUGGUGUGAACUAAUAAUGACUGUAUAUGAAAUCUACCUUGAAGUGAGACUAAUUAUCUCCGGGUUGUUCCGUUAGAGACAUAAGUUAUAAAUUUAGGUGGUACCGCGGAAAUUAUUUCGCCCUUGUU
rnacentral:ncRNA from 1 species